rnacentral:lncRNA from 1 species
AAAAAAAAGAAGAGGAAAAAAAAAACCCCAAAAAACAAAAAACCCAAUCCUUUAUUUGAGUAUAUAGCCUUAUACUUGCACAGGGUGUUGUUUUGUUUAAAAAAAAAAAAAAUGCCUGAAGGAAAAAAAAUCAUUUUCUUCCAAAGGAAGCAUUUUAGAAAUAAAUUUAGUAUAUAUUUAGAAUUGUAUGUGGCUUGUUGACUGUCUCCCAAGUUUUUACUAAAACACACAUAAAGAUACUGGAAGAGGUGAAAUGUAUCCCAUUGCCACCAAGUAGAACUCAUGGUGAUCACGCAGAGCAAAUCUGAAUGGAAUUUCCUUUAGAUUCAAGACCAAUUAUCCUAGAUUUGAAGAUGAAUAGUCUACCUCCCUGAACAGUGCUUGUGGAAAGAGGAAAAAAAAUAUCUCCCUUGGUACCAGCUCCCGAAUCUUGGAAGCAACCCAUUUAUAGGAGAGUUUCCCAAAUUGGUGCGUCUAGGAGCUUAAUUCCUAAGGGCUUUUUCCUCCUGGAAAAGGGCCUGUGGUCACAAGUUUAGGCACGUCUGCAAAAUAGAUCUCUUUUUGGAAAUUCAGAAAGGGCAUCAGCGAUAUUAAAGUUUGUGAGCCUUCCUGCAGAAUAAAAAACUUAAAAAUAUUGUUUAACUUAGAAUUUCUGAAAUGCACUUAACCAUACAACCCGCUGUUUGUCCCCCGUAUAAUAACAACCUGUUAACACCCUGCACCACCUCUAUUUCAAUACGUAUUCUUUAGGAAUUGUACCCAAGUACAUAGCUAUAUAGAUUUGGUUUUUACAUACCAGAAUAUUAUUUCUCAUUCCUUUUUUCUUCUUUUAUAUUGAGAUGAAAUUCUUUGAAAAUAACUAAGUAUCAGGUCUGGGGGAGAUUGUGAUAAAAAGCCUGGAAAAUAGAGUACAAUAAGACAAAAAUAAAGCAGCAUGUAAUAAAAAGGAAGAGCAGUAAAUUAUACAAGGAUUGUAAAGGGUCAUGAAUUUAAAUAUUCAACAAAUACAAUUUACAUGCAAAUAAUAAGAAUAUUUUAUUGACACAAGUUCUUCUACACUCAUAUGGAAAAGUGGACAAGAAAGAAUAGCUAGAAAAAUUCCAAAAAAAGAAGUGUACUAAGAGAAAUUAGCUUGACCAUUUUUGCCUUCUUUGUGUGAAAACAUGUAAAACAAGGUAGCUUUGGCACGUAGACUACGCUCAGUGUAAGAAAAUAGAAGAUCCAGCAGUUCCCAGGCUGAAAUACACAAAGCCAAUCAGUAUGUGGCAAUGGUAGCCUCUCACAUUAGUAAGAAGAAAUAACACUAACCCCUUAUACGGUGUUGACUAUGUGCCAGAGAGGGUCCAAGCACUUUUCAUGUAUGAAUUACCUCGUCCUUACAACCACUCUCUGAAGAAAGGAAUAUUAUUAGCUUCAAUUUAUAGAUGAGGAACUUGAGCCUAGCACGUGAGCAGAGUUUGCAUUGAAACCCAGGCUACAGAUCCUGUACUUUAAACUUUUACGCUCCUCAAACUGCUCUAUAAAAAUGUCCAUCAAAUACUUAUCGCUACGUAAAAAUCGUAAGAUACAGCCUUAAAGAUAAAUAUACAUACAUAUAUAAAUGAUGACUGCAAAUUAUAUGUAUGUUUUUACAUAAUUGUAUGUUCUAUUUAGACACAUAUAAAUCUAACGAAAUUGAAUAUAAAUAGCUAAUGAAAGAAAGCUCAUGAACACCAUUUCUAGAUCCUGGUUCUGAAAACCCUGCCAAAUACAUAUAUAUAUGUAUUUACAUAUGACAAAUAGCUAAAAGCAAAUCACCAACUGGUUAGCAGUUUGAGAAUUAAAGGCGAGCAUAAUUUUUUACUUUAUAAUUUGAUAUGGUUUCCUAAUUUCCUAUAAUUACGUUGCUACAAUUGGGGAAAAAAUAGAAAUAUUUUUAAAGAGAAACAAGGUUUGGACAGAAAAUCUUAUACACUAUAAGAUAAAUAAUAAUCUGGGGGAGUUCCCAUCAUGGCUCAGUGGUUAACGAACCCUACUAGUAUCUAGGAGGACGUGGGUUCUCUCCCUGGCCUCUCUCAGUAGGUUAAGGCUCUGUUGUUAGCAUGAGCUGUGGUGUAGAUUGCAGACAUGGCUUGGAUCCUGUGUUGCUGUGGCUGUGGUGUAGGCCAGCAGCUGCAGCUCCUAUACAACCCCUAGCCUGAGAACUUCCAUUUGCCAUAGCUGUGGCCAUGAAAAAAAAACCCAAAACCCCAAUAAUCUGGUAUUGAUACAAAUACACUUAGUUUAUAGAUUUGACUGCCAAAUUGAUACUAGUUUUUAGGAAAAUGUGAAACUUCAAAAAAAUGUCUUCAUUGGGCAUCUCAAGCUAUCUUCGGGCCCUUGUCUCCUCUCCACUAUCAUUAGUGGCACUUUAGGAAAAGGGUUUGAGAAGCACUGAGGUAAGGCUAGAAAUAGUGUAGUCAGAUAUCAAAGGUGGUAAAAAUUAUUGUUAUGAUUCCAUCACUCUUUCUGGCUAAUGAUAUCAAAUUCUUAAAAAAUCUAAUGAAAAAAUGCUCAUGAACACCAUUCCCAAAUCCUGGUUCAGAAAACCCUGCCAAACAAAUGCACCUGAAAGUUUAUGGUGAGUUCUGUAAUUCUUGGUAUCAUUUAGUCCCGACUCUAAAAGAAUUACAACAUAAGUAAAUGGCUUGGGAGUUCCCUUUUAGACUCAGCGGUAACAAACUUGACUAGUAUUCAUGAGGAUGUGGAUUUGAUCUUUGUCUUUGCUCAAUAGGUCAGGAAUCCGGCUUUGCCAUGAGCUGCGGUAUAGGUUCCAGACAUGGCUCAGAUUCCUGCAUUGCUUUGGCUGUGGUGUAGGGCAGCAGCUGUAGCUUUGCUUCGCUUCUAUUCUAUUCGUUUCGUUUCUGCUGCGCCACAACAGGAACUCCUAAAAAGAGUUUUAAGAAUUGACAGUUAUGGCAAUUCCCAUUGUGACUCAGUGGAAACAAAUCCAACUAGUAACCAGGAGGUCAUGAGUUCCAUCUCUGGCCUUGCCCAGUGGGUUAAGGAUCCAGCAUUGCUGUGAGCUGUGGUGUAGAUCACAGAUGCAGCUUGGAUCCCAUGUGGCUACGGCUGUGGUAUAGGCUAGUGGCUAUAGCUCCAAUUCGACCCCUAGCCUAGGAACCUCCACAUGCCACGGGUGCUGCCCUAAAAAGAAAAAAAAAAAAA